rnacentral:rRNA from 1 species
UACGUAGGGUGCGAGCGUUAAUCGGAAUUACUGGGCGUAAAGCGUGCGCAGGCGGUUUUGUAAGCCAGAUGUGAAAUCCCCGGGCUCAACCUGGGAAUGGCAUUUGGGACUGCAAGGCUGGAGUGCGGCAGAGGAGACUGGAAUUCCUGGUGUAGCAGUGAAAUGCGUAGAGAUCGGGAGGAACACCAGUGGCGAAGGCGGCCUUCUGGACCAAUACUGACGCUCAUGCACGAAAGCGUGGGGAGCAAACAGG